rnacentral:rRNA from 1 species
CCUACGGGAGGCAGCAGUGAGGAAUAUUGGUCAAUGGGCGAGAGCCUGAACCAGCCAAGUCGCGUGAAGGAUGACGGCCCUACGGGUUGUAAACUUCUUUUGUCAGGGAGCAAUUGAUUCCACGUGUGGGCUUAGCGAGAGUACCUGAAGAAAAGGCAUCGGCUAACUCCGUCCCAGCAGCCGCGGUAAUACGGAGGUUGCGAGGGUUAUCCGGAUUUAUUGGGUUUAAAGGGUGCGUGGGCGGAAUAUCAAGUCAGCGGUAAAAUUUCGGGGCUAAACCCCGUCGUGCCGUUGAAACUGAUGUUCUUGAGUGGGCGAGAAGUAUGCGGAAUGCGUGGUGUAGCGGUGAAAUGCAUAGAUAUCACGCAGAACUCCGAUUGCGAAGGCAGCAUACCGGCGCCCAACUGACGCUGAAGCACGAAAGCGUGGGUAUCGAACAGGAUUAGAUACCCCGGUAGUC